GAUGAACGCUGGCGGCGUGCCUAAUACAUGCAAGUCGAGCGAACAGACGAGGAGCUUGCUCCUCUGACGUUAGCGGCGGACGGGUGAGUAACACGUGGAUAACCUACCUAUAAGACUGGGAUAACUUCGGGAAACCGGAGCUAAUACCGGAUAACAUGUUGAACCGCAUGGUUCAACAGUGAAAGACGGUCUUGCUGUCACUUAUAGAUGGAUCCGCGCCGCAUUAGCUAGUUGGUAAGGUAACGGCUUACCAAGGGAACGCUGCGUAGCCGACCUGAUAGGGUGAUCGGCCACACUGGAACUUAGACACGGUCCAGACUACUACGGGAGGCAGCAGUAGGGAAUCUUCCGCAAUGGGCGAAAGCCUGACGGAGCAAGGCCGCGUGAGUGAAGAAGGUCUUCGGAUCGGAAAGCCCUGUUAUUAGGGAAGAACAAAUGUGUAAGUAACUAUGCACGUCUUGACGGUACCUAAUCAGAAAGCCACGGCUAACUACGUG
rnacentral:rRNA from 1 species